UGUUGUUGUUGUUGUUGUUGUUUGUAUGAGUCAUCAGCCCAAGAGGCCAGCAGCCCUAUGUCACUUAACUCAUAAGUGAUUUCACUGAAAUUUGACACUAUUUGCUUCCCGUUACAAUGUCUGUCUCCCCCAACAUUGCUAGGAUUUGUUUAGCUCAUUCCGCACAGUGGGAAUCCCUGAACCCACACGUUGGUCCACAUGUUGGCAUGGUGGCAGCUGGGGGCACAAUGGCAGUGGCUGGGUUACUUCCCACUUGUUUCCUUGCACUGUCCUGGCUCACACCUCCCUUUGAUUUCAGGACUCUCAACAGACACUACUUUAUCUCAUCCUUGAAGAACAUCUUUGUGGGGAUGGAGGACAGACACUUCCAGGAGAUACAUCACCCUCUACCCUCAUCCCAGAGAGGCCAAUGGGCACAACCUUCAGUGCUGGCUGAGAUGUUCCCAUAGGAAGGACACAGACUCCUCCAUGGCACCUCAUCCCAAUUAAUCAAGUCUUCCUGAACUCUCAAUUCAGCCAAAGCCAUCACUGAUUGCUCCAGACAAAUAUUUCACUGAUACCAACACCAACUUCCACCGAAGAACUGAUCAAGGACAAAUUUGGUCUGGCUACCUCCACCAAAAGUCAACUAAAUGUCAUUGCCAAUUCCCCUAGCUCCUGCUGGAGGCCUUCCAGAUGUUACAAAAGAACAAGGAAUAUGAAACUGGUUCUGUGCUUUCUCCCAAAGCUCAAGCUAGCACAUCCUUUGCUUCUUUCUGUAAAUAUUUAUUACAUGCCUACUAAAGCUGAACACAAAUAUCUGUACUACAAAGCAGUGAGUGAACCAUAAGUUCCCUGUGAACAAUACAGAUACUCUGGUGUACCAGUGAGAGACAGAUCUCCACAAGCUGGUAGUGUCAGGAACAGAAAGGAUGGAAGAAGUGCCACUGGAGCUGGGCAGGUGUUGGGCACAGCUUCAACAGAUAGAAGGUGGAACGGUGUGGUCAGGGGAGAGAGGUGCGUUAUUCAAGGAGUACCUAGUCUGUACUAAGCAUAAGCUGGAAGCUUUCACCUAUAUCAUCUCAUUAACCCCUCCUAUCAUUUUCAGAGAGAGUUAUCAUUAUCUCCAUGCAUAUAGUUGAGAAAACUGAAGCUCAGAGAGUUAAAUAAUUUGCCCAAGGUCACACAGCUAGUAAGUGGCAGAGCCUUGCCUUGAACCCAGAACUGAUUGCCCCUGAAAUCCAUGCUCUUGUCUCUGCACUGUGGUGCCAGGUGUGUCAGGAAAAGGGGAGGAGCCUAGUUUGUCUGGAGUGUUGAAUGUGUGUGAAGGAGAAGUAGAAACUGCCCACAAUGGUCACUGCGUGCAAGAGUGCUGCCCCAUCUCUGGGACUGCCAAGGCCAUUCCUACAGGAGGCCUGUCUCAAGAGAAUCUCAGCCUUGAGCUCCCUUGCUGCCAAUGCCCUUGGAAAGUCAGAAGAAACAGGGACAUGGGGAGAGGCAGUCCUCCAAGCACGCGUUCCUUCAAUGCCCCUCUCUUCCUUUCAGCAUUCCCAAUCUUGCCCUCUCCUGUAGUUCCUUCUUCUCAGUCUUGAGAGCCUUCCUUCCACACCCCACCAUUUGGUACUCUAUUUCCCCCUUCCGCUUCCUGUCAAACUUCCCUUAUUCCUGAUACACACUUGCCUCUGUCUUCCAAGGCUUCUUCUUUCCCUGACCCCUCAGCUCUCACUCACCAGGUCACCAAUGACCUCCUGAUUUUAAAAGUUCCAAUGAUUUCCUAUAGGAUUGCCAUCAGCUCCAUCAUUUGCUAGCUUGAUAAAUUACUUAUUCAC